AAUUGACGUAAAGCAAGAAAAAUUUUACUAUAUAAAGUUAUCAAAUCAUUUUAUAUUUCUUACAUGCAAAAGUGAAAAAAUGACUAAAACUCUCAUGUUUGCUUAUAAUGUGAUUUUUUUUGUUUUCAUGUUUCUCGUUCUAACCUUUGGUAAAAGAGAAUGUGUUCUUGACUCCGAUUGUAUUACAUUAUUUCCGGAUAAAUAUUCUAGUGGAUCAAUGGUGUGCUUUGAUGGUACCUGUAAAACUCUAUGGAAAAAGAGGUCCUGAUAAUCUAAAUUACGCUCGGCUAUGAGCCCACCAUACAACUGAGUAGUAGUAUCAAGGUGUUUUUCCACGAGAAUAAAGUGGAGAGUUAUGUUCUCUCUUCUAAUAAGAUAUAUAUGGUGUUCUUUAAAGUUUGUUAGAUUAUAUUUUAUUUUUAAAUUUGGCUGUAAGACACGAAUAUUGUAACAUAGAGUUGGGUUUAAUAAUAUGGUCAUGAUUUAUUUUGUUGGA